GGGGCCUUAGCUCAGCUGGUAGAGCGCAACGCUGGCAGCGUUGAGGUCAGGAGUUCGAUCCUCCUAGGCUCCACCA
rnacentral:tRNA from 3 species